rnacentral:rRNA from 1 species
UACGUAGGGGGCCAGCGUUGUCCGGACUUACUGGGCGUAAAGCGCGCGCAGGCGGGUCGGUAUGUGCCGUGUGAAAGCGCCAUCAAUCGUGGCGAGGUCAUGGUAGACAGCCGACCUGGAGCCUCGGAGAGGUCGGUGGAAUUCCGGGUGGAGCGGUGAAAUGCGUAGAUAUCCGGAGGAACACCAGGGGCGAAAGCGGCCGACUGGCCGAGUGCUGACGCUGAGGCGCGAAGGCGUGGGGAGCAAACCGG